AGAUCAAAGCCGCGAGGCUCGCACCGAACCAGAUGGCGCUACUUGCACGCGCCCAUCUAACCCAGCGAGCGGGCCAAGGUCUGAGUAUUCUAAUCCCUCUCGAUCGACUCUAGCUGGGUCCGACCUUAAGCGGUCGAGCGACGCACCAGAAACACACGCGCCUCUCGCUCUCGCGGGAACCCGCGCGCCCGGAGAACUCUCUGCAUCGUCAAGAGGGAGGGCGUCGGCGGAGGCUGGCAUUUGGGAACCGUCGCAGGGAUCGGGCGGUGCUCUUCUUUUUUUCAGGGCUCGUCCUCUUCGUCUCCUCUGCGCUCUCUAUCGUGUUCAACCAGUGCUCCGAUGGCGGCCGACGGAGCGCCCAGGGGCCACUCGGCCGGCCUGGGUUGGCAUCCACUCGUCUCUGACGGUGGUGUCGGUGGUUCUAGAUGCGGGACGGGACCGGGGAAUUCUCCGUGAUCACGUUGGGCUACGCUAAAAGUUGUUUCCGUUCGGAACCCUUUCGAACCGCAAUCUUUGCGGAGUCAUUCCCCUGCUCUAAUGAACAGACGAGGAGAGACAAGUCGAGACGUCGCAUGAGGCCACGCACCGUCCUUGAGUGCACUUUGCGGCUCGCGAUUACCAGCCCCUACCUCGGACUCUUCGGAGGAUGAGGGAUGGGGCUGCGCGAAACUCGAUUCAGACUACUCUGAUCU
rnacentral:RNase_P_RNA from 2 species